rnacentral:rRNA from 1 species
AUUGAACGCUGGCGGCAGGCCUAACACAUGCAAGUCGAACGAGUGGCGGACGGGUGAGUAAUGUCUGGGAAACUGCCCGAAGGAGGGGGAUAACUACUGGAAACGGUAGCUAAUACCGCAUACCAUCGGAUGUGCCAAGAUGGGAUUCGCUAGUAGGUGGGGUAACGGCUCACCUAGGCGACGAUCCCUAGCUGGUCUGAGAGGAUGACCAGCCACACUGGAACUGAGACACGGUACAGACUCCUACGGUAGGCAGCAGUGGGGAAUAUUGCAAAAUGGGCGCAAGCCUGAUGCAGCCAUGCCGCGUGUAUGAAGAAGGCCGUCGGGUUGUAAAGUACUUUCAGCGAGGAGGCGUUACUCGCAGAAGAAGCACCGGCUAACUCCGUGCCAGCAGCCGCGGUAAUAC